rnacentral:rRNA from 1 species
GAUGAACGCUGGCGGCGUGCUUAACACAUGCAAGUCGAACGGGAAUUACUUUAUUGAAACUUCGGUCGAUUUAAUUUAAUUCUAGUGGCGGACGGGUGAGUAACGCGUGGGUAACCUGCCUUAUACAGGGGGAUAACAGUCAGAAAUGGCUGCUAAUACCGCAUAAGCGCACAGAGCUGCAUGGCUCAGUGUGAAAAACUCCGGUGGUAUAAGAUGGACCCGCGUUGGAUUAGCUUGUUGGUGGGGUAACGGCCCACCAAGGCGACGAUCCAUAGCCGGCCUGAGUGGGUGAACGGCCACAUUGGGACUGAGACACGGCCCAGACUCCUACGGGAGGCAGCAGUGGGGAAUAUUGCACAAUGGGGGAAACCUUGAUGCAGCGACGCCGCGUGAAGGAAGAAGUAUCUCGGUAUGUAAACUUCUAUCAGCAGGGAAGAUAGUGACGGUACCUGACUAAGAAGCCCCGGCUAACUACGUGCCAGCAGCCGCCGUAA